rnacentral:lncRNA from 1 species
UUUUGUGUAGUCAGGUUUAAUAAUAAUAAUAAUAAUAAUAAAAAUGAUUAGUCCAUUUGUAUGGCGCCAAACUCCAUACCAACUCGUGUGCUCAUGGCGCUUACAUAGUACAAGGGUAAUACUUGUCAAAGAGCAAUGUUUUUAGUCUAACCUUAAAGACAGAUAGGGUCUCUGCAGUUUGUAUUGUUUCUGGGAGUGUAUUCCACAGCAUAGGUGCUUGAUAGGAGAAUUAUCUGAAGCCAUGUCCCUUUAAUCUCCGUCUUGGAACACUACACAAAAGCUGGGAUUGUGAUCGAAGCUAUCUGGUAGGCUGGUACACAUAGAGGUCACAUAGGUAUCUUGGUGCUGUGCCGGAGAUACACUGGUAGGUAAUGACAAGAACCUUAAACUCUAUCCGUGCUGGAACGGGCAACCAGUGCAGAGCCUACAGGACAGGUGUGAUGUGGCAGCUCAUGGGACUGCAACUGACUAUAGGGGCUGCCGUAUUCUGAAUGCGUUGAAGUUUAGAGAGACUGUACUUUGUAAUACCAGUCAGCAGACUAUUACUGUAGUCAAGCCUUGAAAAGAUCUGUGUCCCGAUAAGUGUAUCAGAUAGUGUUUACAUUUGGAACGUAAUUUUUGCUCGACUCCGUUCCAUAGUAAAGUGGCUGUCAGCGGAUGGUAGAAUGUUGCCAAUAGUUACUACAUGUGCCGUAUGUCUGCUUUGCCGCGUGGUAGAGCUGCUUGUGAGAUUUUAAUGGAGUGGCCGGUAUGAAACAGCUUGGGCUGGUACUUGAGAUACAGAUGCCACAGGAAAUUCUUGGGCGAAUCAAAGCGAGAAAUGACUUCGCACUCAGUCUGAGAACGAAUGGCUGUUGAUGGUUGUGUUUUAGCAGGUCUCGUUCUGUGAACCAGGUCUUCGACCUACAAUCACGCGUUCUUUUAUAAUACCUCUCCGAAAUAACCCGUGAUGAUCUGGGUAGAAUAGGUCUUCAGCAAUCCAUGCUUGCCAUAAGAAGCGACUAUGCUUGUCGUAAGAGGAGACGCCGGAUCGGGUGGUCAGGCUCGCAUGUCAAGAUCACAGAUAAUUUUGUAUAUAUUAAUCAUAUGUUAGUACUUCAGAUAGAUGUAUUACGGUAUGGUUACAUUAGUAUAUUAAGCUUAUCGGGUUGUUUUUAGAUAUUGUCAGAUAAUACUAUGGGAACAGGUUAUGUUCAGGGAAGCGUGACUGGGUACGAUUGAUAGCUGGGGAGUUAAUUGGUGUAACAAUAGGGAGGUCAGGGGUAGCUUGGGCUUGGGGUCAGUUUAAAUAGCGGGGCAGGGUAAUAAUUGGUACAGUCAGCCAGAAUCAGCAUGGUCAUGUAAGGCAUGGACUAACAUUGUGGGAGACUUCUACUCUGGUUAACUGUCCCGGGACUGGCCGGUUAACCUUAUAGUACGUAGGAGGGAAGAAGUACCUCCGAUAGUACGUAGGAGGAAGUAUCAACCUCCAACAUCACGUGCGGAGAGAAGUUCUCCGACCAUACGUAAGGAGAGAAGUAUCUCCGUUUCCGUGUGCACAUCAUAGGAUGAACACAGCCGUGGCAUCCAUGUAAACAGGCACCCUUAACUCCGGGGGAACAACAUCGCCUGGGUGGAAAGAUCACCAUUCGAUAUUACGAGGAAGAAUUCUCGUGUGAACUGCUCAGUAACAUCAGAGAUUCCAAAGUUCUGUAUACAACUGUUGUGACAGUGGAGUGGCUUUGUAUCUUUUGGGGUUGGUUUUUUUUGGUGUGUUUUUGUGUUGUUGUUGUUUAUAUGUACACACACAAAGUUAUUACUGUGUAUUAGUUGUGUUAUUCUUAGAACAUUUGUAUUAGUGUUAGUAUUGUCAGAGGUAGACUAUUAGUAUUAGGAUAGUGUAUCGUUAUAGUUGUAUUGUUAGUAGUAGAUAGUUGUAUUAUUAGUAGUAGACAUUUGUACUGUUAGUAUUAAGAUAUUAGUAUUAGUAGUAAAUGGUAGUAUUGUUAGUUGUAGGAGAAGCUAGGUUAGUUAGUUGUGUUAGUUAAUUUGGUAUUAGUUUGAAUUUAAAUAUUAUUAUUGGGAUUUAAAAUUACCUUAAGGGAGGGAAUAAAUCUUUAUUACAACUU